GCGUCUGUGACCGCGGAGGGACAUUGCUGGAACGCGCCCCUGGCGCACCCAGAAAC
rnacentral:rRNA from 1 species